CAAGAGCUUCCACACCAGCAGCCUUUAGUCAGGACGUUGGAAUGAUCAAUAAAUCGGCACCGCCUGAUCUCAGAGUCUGAGGAUGUCUACAAGGCACAAGCAACUCUUUUAGCACGGUCGAAACAGCACAGAAGGUAUAAAGCUAGUAGCUGCGACGGACCUGGUUCUCCGCAAGAUGCACGGAGAUCUGAAGCUAUGUUGCCACCUUGUGGUGCAGAAGCCGAUGAAGCUCAUUUUUCGCCUUUUUGCUUGCACUAUUCAUCCUUUAUCCCCAAACUGCACUGAGAAACGAUGGCGAGUGGAUCAGACCGUGCACGUCGUGGCCCAGGAGAUGUUACGGGCAUUCUGGAAAGCAGCCAUGAUCAAUAUUUUAAAGGGCCCAAUUAUGUUCCUGUAGGAAAAGGCACCUCACGCUGCCUACUCGUGCAUCUCAGGACAGCUAGCUUCCCGGCUCAGAAGUGUGCUUCCAUUUUAAAAUCAAGCUGGAGAGACCAGAGAAAUGUCUGUGUGCAACUUUGUCCUUGUCCUGUAGAAAUGGGACUUGUCACUUGAAAAGACCUGAAAGAGAAACUCUAACGAAGCUCAUGCUUUGGGCCGUUUAUGCAAAUUAUUUACCAGUAAUUCCCAGCAGGUUCAAGAAGUAGCAACUGGGUGAAUAAGAUUGCUAACCUAUAGACCGGCACUAUCCUCCCCAAAGCCAUUCUUCUUGUUCCCUGAUCCUUGCUUCUGGGUGAGAGUCAAGCACCUGGGUGUGUUUUAAAACCUCAGCAUCUGCGUACGUGUUAAUGACUUUGGUUUUGAGCAGCUCUUGCGGCGUUUCAGAGUUUUCGCUCUCUUUCCUCAGCCCUCCUCUGAAAGCCUGACAAUCCCUCUGUGACCAAAUUGCUAACCCUCUGAAAAUGCUUGAGUUUGCACGAUCAGAUUUUCCUUUGGAUAACUGAAGUGUCAGAAGAAAUACCAUCUCCUAUUAGACGGGGAAAAUUUCAAUCAUCAGAAUGAAAUAAAACAGAAGCAGAGCAGAGCUGGUUUUAAUGA
rnacentral:lncRNA from 1 species